GAUAAACGCUGGCGGCGUGCAUGAGACAUGCAAGUCGAACGAACGAGCUUGCUCGUUAGUGGCGAACGGCUGAGUAACGCGUAGGUGACCUGCCCUGAAGUGGGGGAUAACGGCCCGAAAGGGUUGCUAAUACCGCAUGUGGCGACGUGUUCAUUCACGUCAUCAAAGCCGCGAGGCGCUUCAGGAGGGGCCUGCGUCCGAUUAGCUCGUUGGUGGGGUAACGGCUCACCAAGGCGACGAUCGGUAGGUGGUCUGAGAGGACGAUCACCCAGACUGGGACUGAGACACGGCCCAGACUCCUACGGGAGGCAG
rnacentral:rRNA from 1 species